UACAUGGGGUGCAAACGUUGCUCGGAAUUAUUGGGCGUAAAGCGCACGUAGGCGGUUCGUUAAGUCGGAUGUGAAAGCCCUCGGCUCAACUGAGGAAGUGCACCCGAAACUGGCGAGCUUGAGUACGAAAGAGGAUCGCGGAAUUCCCGGUGUAGAGGUGAAAUUCGUAGAUAUGGGGAGGAACACCGGUGACGAAGGCGGCCAUCUGGACGGUAACUGACGCUGAGACGGCGAAAAGCGUGGGGAGCAAACAGG
rnacentral:rRNA from 1 species